rnacentral:lncRNA from 15 species
AAUUCCAGCAAAGGUCAACUUCAUCACAAGUCAACAAUGGACGAAGCCACCAGGGAGCGAACAGGACCACAAGGCCUUUUGUCCUCGAGCAAUAAAAACGAAGCAGCUAUGGCAGUGACACAAGCAAGGACAUGGAACUCAUGAGAACUGC